rnacentral:tRNA from 1 species
CCCGGGAUUUCUGAACCGGCGGUGGCGAUCUGUUAACCGCAAGGUUCGGAGUUCGAAUCUCCGUCCCGGAGCCA